GAACGCUGGCGGCGCGCUUAAGCAUGCAAGUCGGACGGCAAGGGUUGUGCUUGCACAACGUCCUAGAGUGGCGGACUGGUGAGUAACGCGUGGGUGACCUGCCCUCGAGAUGGGGAUAGCCAUUAGAAAUAGUGGAUAAUACCGAAUACGCUCAUGACCCUGUGGGGAUAUGAGGAAAACAGGCUACGGCCUGGCUCGAGGAUGGGCCCGCGUCCCCAUUAGCUAGUUGGUGAGGUAACGGCCCACCAAGGCGACGAUGGGUAUCCGGCCUGAGAGGGUGUACGGACACAUUGGGACUGAGAUACGGCCCAAACUCCUACGGGAGGCAGCAGCUAAGAAUAUUCCGCAAUGGACGGAAGUCUGACGGAGCGACGCCGCGUGGAUGAAGAAGGCCGGAAGGUUGUAAAAUCCUUUUGCUGAUGAAGAAUAAGUGUGGUAGGGAAUGACCGCAUGAUGACAUUAGUCGGUGAAUAAGCCCCGGCUAACUACGUGCCAGCCGCCGC
rnacentral:rRNA from 1 species